rnacentral:rRNA from 1 species
AGAGUUUGAUCCUGGCUCAGGACGAACGCUGGCGGCGUGCCUAAUACAUGCAAGUCGAGCGGACCGAAAGGAGAGCUCGCUCUCCUUUCAGUCAGCGGCGGACGGGUGAGUAACACGUGGGUAACCUGCCUGUAAGACCGGGAUAACUCGCGGAAACGCGAGCUAAUACCGGAUAGGUCCCGUGGCCGCAUGGCGACGGGAGGAAAGAUGGCGCGAGCUAUCGCUUACAGAUGGGCCCGCGGCGCAUUAGCUAGUUGGUGGGGUAACGGCCCACCAAGGCGACGAUGCGUAGCCGACCUGAGAGGGUGAUCGGCCACAUUGGGACUGAGACACGGCCCAAACCCCUACGGGAGGCAGCAGUAGGGAAUCUUCCGCAAUGGGCGAAAGCCUGACGGAGCAACGCCGCGUGAGCGAAGAAGGCCUUCGGGUCGUAAAGCUCUGUUGUCAGGGAAGAACAAGUACCGGAGUAACUGCCGGUACCUUGACGGUACCUGACCAGAAAGCCCCGGCUAACUACGUGCCAGCAGCCGCGGUAAUACGUAGGGGGCGAGCGUUGUCCGGAAUCAUUGGGCGUAAAGCGCGCGCAGGCGGUCCCUUAAGUCUGAUGUGAAAUCUUGCGGCUCAACCGCAAGAGGUCAUUGGAAACUGGGGGACUUGAGUGCAGGAGAGGGAAGCGGAAUUCCAUGUGUAGCGGUGAAAUGCGUAGAGAUAUGGAGGAACACCAGUGGCGAAGGCGGCUUCCUGGCCUGUAACUGACGCUCAGGCGCGAAAGCGUGGGGAGCAAACAGGAUUAGAUACCCUGGUAGUCCACGCCGUAAACGAUGAGUGCUAGGUGUUGGGAGGGGGUUUACCCUUCAGUGCUGGAGCUAACGCAUUAAGCACUCCGCCUGAGGAGUACGGCCGCAAGGCUGAAACUCAAAUGAAUUGACGG